UACGUAGGCAGCGAGCGUUGUUCGGAGUUACUGGGCGUAAAGGGUGUGUAGGCGGUUUUCUAAGUUUGGUGUGAAAUCUCCCGGCUUAACCGGGAGGGUGCGCCGAAAACUGGGAGACUAGAGUGCGGGAUGGGAGAGUAGAAUUCCUGGUGUAGCGGUGAAAUGCGCAGAUAUCAGGAGGAACACCGGUGGCGAAGGCGGGUCUCUGGGCCGAUACUGACGCUGAGGAGCGAAAGCGUGGGGAGCGAACAGG
rnacentral:rRNA from 1 species